rnacentral:rRNA from 1 species
UACGGAGGAUGCGAGCGUUAUCCGGAUUUAUUGGGUUUAAAGGGUGCGUAGGCGGGCUUUUAAGUCAGCGGUAAAAAUUCGGGGCUCAACCCCGUCCGGCCGUUGAAACUGGGGGUCUUGAGCGGGCGAGAAGAAGGCGGAAUGCGUGGUGUAGCGGUGAAAUGCAUAGAUAUCACGCAGAACCCCGAUUGCGAAGGCAGCCUUCCGGCGCCCUACUGACGCUGAGGCACGAAAGUGCGGGGAUCGAACAGG